rnacentral:tRNA from 1 species
GGGACUUUAAGUUAAGCAAACUGAAAACCUUCAAAGUUUUAUAUACACAUAAGUAAGUCCUG